AUUGAACGCUGGCGGCAUGCCUUACACAUGCAAGUCGAACGGCAGCAUGGAGAGCUUGCUCUCUGAUGGCGAGUGGCGAACGGGUGAGUAAUGCAUCGGAACGUACCGUGUAAUGGGGGAUAACGUAGCGAAAGUUACGCUAAUACCGCAUACGACCUGAGGGUGAAAGCAGGGGAUCGCAAGACCUUGCGUUAUACGAGCGGCCGAUGUCAGAUUAGCUAGUUGGUGAGGUAAAGGCUCACCAAGGCGACGAUCUGUAGCGGGUCUGAGAGGAUGAGCCGCCACACUGGGACUGAGACACGGACCAGACUCCGACGGGAGGCAGCAGUGGGGAAUUUUGGACAAUGGGGGCAACCCUGAUCCAGCCAUGCCGCGUGAGUGAAGAAGGCCUUCGGGUUGUAAAGCUCUUUCGGCCGGGAAGAAAUCGCACAGGCUAAUACUCUGUGUGGAUGACGGUACCGGCAUAAGAAGCACCGGCUAACUACGUGCCAGCCGCCGCCGUAA
rnacentral:rRNA from 1 species